rnacentral:tRNA from 1 species
GGAGGGAUGGCAGAGCGGUCGAAUGCACCGGUCUUGAAAACCGGCAGAGCCUUAACGGGCUCUCGUGGGUUCGAAUCCCACUCCCUCCG